AUCUUCUAGAAGCCUCAUCUGCUGAUUCCCAAUCCGGAGAACUUCCAUUUUCACCUUUCAGAUGUUGGCAUCUCAGGCCUCGGAACAGCCUAGAGUGAUUGCUGGGACACCAGUGGGCAAAUGGCCAAGAUCUGAGAAGAAAGACCCCCGUAAGCUUGAAGGCAGGCCACAAUGGGAGGCAGUGAGAGCCCUGUCGAGCACCUGACCACCCUCCAAGACUGAGAUGUCCCUGCUCCCACAAUCAUUAGCCCACUCUUACUGGAUUACUACUGGACUUUGAAGGAUUCUAUUUAUUAUUGUUGUUAUUAUAAUUUUGCUUAUAAUAUAAUUAUGAUCCAUGUAAUGGAUCCUUGACAACACUUUCCACGGCGUAUCAGCAAAGUUCCCAGCCACUAGCUUCUGGGGGACAGAAGCUGUGCUUUUUAUAAGAUGUCAUCCCGAGAGACAUUAAAGCCCCUGGAAUCCUGGA